CCGUUAUAUGAAGAGGAGAUGAUCUCGGCAUCCUCAUUGGCAUCGAUAUUGAUUACAAUCCAAUCGUAUUCGCUAUUUUUCCACGAGUGGAACCAGUGUCAGUCAUCGAGUUGUGUGCUCAACUUCUGAGUUUCAAAA